rnacentral:rRNA from 1 species
UAGAGUUUGAUCCUGGCUCAGAUUGAACGCUGGCGGCAUGCCUUACACAUGCAAGUCGAACGGCAGCACGGGGGCAACCCUGGUGGCGAGUGGCGAACGGGUGAGUAAUGCAUCGGAACGUGCCCAGUUGUGGGGGAUAACCCGGCGAAAGCCGGGCUAAUACCGCAUACGACCUACGGGUGAAAGCGGGGGACCGUAAGGCCUCGCGCAAUUGGAGCGGCCGAUGUCUGAUUAGCUAGUUGGCGGGGUAAAGGCCCACCAAGGCGACGAUCAGUAGCUGGUCUGAGAGGACGACCAGCCACACUGGGACUGAGACACGGCCCAGACUCCUACGGGAGGCAGCAGUGGGGAAUUUUGGACAAUGGGCGCAAGCCUGAUCCAGCCAUGCCGCGUGCGGGAAGAAGGCCUUCGGGUUGUAAACCGCUUUUGGCAGGAACGAAACGGCGCGGGCGAAUAUCCCGUGUUAAUGACGGUACCUGCAGAAUAAGCACCGGCUAACUACGUGCCAGCAGCCCCGGUCA